rnacentral:rRNA from 1 species
GACGAACGCUGGCGGCGUGCUUAACACAUGCAAGUCGAACGGAAAGGCCCUGAUUUUGUGGGGUGCUCGAGUGGCGAACGGGUGAGUAACACGUGAGUAACCUGCCCUUGACUUUGGGAUAACUUCAGGAAACUGGGGCUAAUACCGGAUCGGAGCUCCUGCUGCAUGGUGGGGGUUGGAAAGUUUCGGCGGUUGGGGAUGGACUCGCGGCUUAUCAGCUUGUUGGUGGGGUGGUGGGUUACCAAGGCUUUGAAGGGUAGCCGGCCUGAGAGGGUGACCGGCGACAUUGGGACUGAGGGACGGCCCAGACGCCUACGGGAGGCAGCAGGGGGGAAUAUUGCACAAGGGGCGGAAGCCUGAUGCAGCAACGCCGCGUGCGGGAUGACGGCCUUCGUGGGGUAAACCGCUUUCGCCUGUGACGAAGCGUGAGUGACGGUAAUGGGUAAAGAAGCACCGGCUAACUACGUG